GACGAACGCUGGCGGCGUGCCUAAUACAUGCAAGUCGAACGCUGAAGAGAGGAGCUUCCUCUUCUUGGAUGAGUUGCGAACGGGUGAGUAACGCGUAGGUAACCUGCCUUGUAGCGGGGGAUAACUAUUGGAAACGAUAGCUAAUACCGCAUAACAAUGGAUGACACAUGUCAUUUAUUUGAAAGGGGCAAUUGCUCCACUACAAGAUGGACCUGCGUUGUAUUAGCUAGUAGGUGAGGUAAUGGCUCACCUAGGCGACGAUACAUAGCCGACCUGAGAGGGUGAUCGGCCACACUGGGACUGAGACACGGCCCAGACUCCUACGGGAGGCAGCAGUAGGGAAUCUUCGGCAAUGGGGGCAACCCUGACCGAGCAACGCCGCGUGAGUGAAGAAGGUUUUCGGAUCGUAAAGCUCUGUUGUAAGUCAAGAACGGGUGUGAGAGUGGAAAGUUCACACUGUGACGGUAGCUUACCAGAAAGGGACGGCUAACUACGUG
rnacentral:rRNA from 1 species